CAAAUGCACAAAUUACUGGCCAUACAUGAGGGAGCAAAUGAGAAAUGUAGUCUUGUACUGAAAAGCAAAUACUGUGCAUGGUAUUUGUCCAGCACCUCCGGUAGCAGAAACUGCAGGUCUUGAUGAAGAGUAGUAUGAGGAGCAGAACGACGGAGAGGAGGAAGGCAAGGACAUCCAGGCUGUGAUACUGGUACCAGGCCUCUGCGCUGUCGCAGCUGGAUCCUGGCGACGCAGCGUCAGUGUCACUGGUGAGGGCCCAGGUGUGUGGAGGGGACUGCAGCUGCUCCAUGUUUCCUCUGAGGAAGGUGAGAAGGGCGGUGGGGGAGUGGCUGGCCGGCUGACCGCUCUGGCUCUCCAGCAGCUGCACCAGGAAGUUGAUGUAGCGCAUGGCCAGGCGCAGGAUCUCGUUCUUGCUCAGCUUCUUCUCCGGAGGAUGGGUGGGGAUGAGCUUGCGGAGCUCGGCGAAGGCGGUGUUGACGUUGUGCUGGCGCCAGCGCUCCCUCGUGUUGGUGAACACCUUCCUGGUCAUGAUGCUGAGUAGAGAUGCAAGGAUUAGUCGACGGAAGGAAAAUUAAUCAGCAACUGUCUUGAUAAUCGAAUAAUCGUUUUAGUCUUUUUUUUUUUUUUGCAAAAAAUGCCAAA